rnacentral:rRNA from 1 species
CUACGGGGCGCUGCAGUGAGGAAUAUUGCACAAUGGGGGGAACCCUGAAGCAGCAACGCCGCGUGGAGGAUGACGCAUUUCGGUGUGUAAACUCCUUUUAUAUGUCAAGAAAAUGACGGUAGCAUAUGAAUAAGCACCGGCGUAACUCCGUGCCAGCAGCCGCGGUAAUACGGAGGGUGCAAGCGUUACUCGGAAUCACUGGGCGUAAAGGACGCGUAGGCGGGUUGGAAAGUCAGGUGUGAAAUCCUACAGCUUAACUGUUGAACUGCACUUGAAACUUCUAAUCUAGAGUAUGGGAGGGGGAGAUGGAAUUAGUGGUGUAGGGGUAAGAUCCGUAGAUAUCACUAGGAAUACCUAAAGCGAAGGCGAUCUCUUGGAACAUUACUGACGCUAAGGCGUGAAAGCGUGGGGAGCAAACAGGAUUAGAUACCCCGGUAGUC